UCAGAUGGUGUAUGUUUACAUAGAUAUCCAAUCCUAUUAUGGUAAGAUCCCUCGGAGGAUGUGUACAAACAUCCUAGAUAUACAAUAUUUCUAUGAUAAAUUACCCUAUGGGAUGUUUGCAAAUAUUCUACUGUGUUAAUCUUCAUUUAAACCUAUCUUGGUUGUAUAUGGAAAACAAUUUCUAGUUAGAAUGGGAUUUUAGUUAUAGAGGAAUACAGAGUGAAGGUGAAUUUAUAAUUCUUCAACAUGUUUUCCUUCUUCAAUUAUGGUUGUUUUUAGUUGGUGGAGAAAUUUGUCUCAUUAAUUAUAUUAAUGAAUGAGACAUCAGCCUGCUAACUAGCUAUGUGGAGCUUCCCCUUCAUGACAAACUUCUUUGAGGGGUUAUGGCCAUUUAUGUCAUGGAAGUUUGAGGCAAUAAUAGGUAUGUGAUGCCCUUAUAAUUUCUAAGAUGCACACACACUACAAUGAUGUAGUGAAAGAGUCACCAAGGAAGUUUGAGGAAACAAUAGGUUUGUGAUGUCCUUAGAUGUUCUAGGAUACACACAUUAUAUUGAUGUAGUGAAAUAUUUUUUCUCCUUGUUUGAGAGGACUAUGAAAUAUUCUCAAAUUGGAUCUUGAUUGGGAUAAAAGAUUGCAAUUAUUGAUCAUCAAUGAGGAAUUUACUGUAAGAACAUGUCAACAUCUUAUGAUACAUAUGCCAAUACCCUUUGUGCACACUACUCUAGAAUCCUACCGAUCAAAU
rnacentral:ncRNA from 1 species